AGGCAGUGGGCGUCGUCGCUGCUAUUUCUCUGUUUGAGUUUGAUUGGCCAGCUGUUGCUUCUAGCGUCACGGCUCUGCCAGCUGAUCGGAGUGAGAAGCCGGUUUGAAGAGUUGAAGGAGAGAGAGAGAGAGAGAGAGAUAGGGGGAUAGCCCGUGAAGCGACGAGAGAAACGGGGGAACAGGGCGAGCAGGAUAUGCCUUUUUACUUCCCGUGUUAUUUAUUUUAUAACAGUUAAAUCGCACCGGACGGCUCCAAUAGAAAGAUAAGCGACAGAGUGAUGGAGAAUUUGCGAGGCUUUAAGCCACCGAAAGCUCGGGAACUGUCAGAAAAAAUUGACAGAGUUAAGGGCAGUGGGUUCCACACGUAUCGUGUCAGGAGACCCUCAAAUGUAAUGGACGUGGCAACUUUACAGUAGCCAACCCCGAUCAAUGUAACGUCAACUAUGCCAUAGGCAACUGGGCGUGGGGAAAACCGUACAUUACGUUUCUUUCAACGCCUAAUAGUCAUCAACUCGACCCUAAAGAGAGAGUUGCGCAUUUCACGCAUUAAAUAUCCGAGGCUGUGGCUGCUGACUAACGCUUCGAUGGGACCAAUCGAUGGAUUUACCUUAAAAAAGUAUACCUCUUCAAAAAAACAAAAGAAUAUUCUUUCGCUGGGGGUGGUUUGAUCAAGCACCUUUUCUACUACGUUGAGGAACCUUGGUGGUUUCCAUGAGUGAGGUUUCACCCAAAGACUCACCCUGAAGAGGUGUGAAGUUUUAGUUUGUGUGUGCAUUCUGGGUGCCUCGUGGCUGACCCACAUCAGUUCUUCACUGGCAAGCUUUAUGUCAUAUGUACCAACUAAAGCUGCCAGCUGAAGAACUGUUGUGGUUGGCUCUUUCCUGCACCUCAAGACCCCUCUCAUCAUGUGAGAUUUCUCUCCGCCUCCAUCCAGGUGACUUGUGAAGCGGAGGGGGAACAACUCCUAGGAAACGUACAGCAUUAUGUCACUAAGAUGGAUGCAACUGAGAUAAAUGUAUUAACAUGCAUGUCAAAGGAUUUUUUGCUUCUACAUUGUAUCUUGAUUAGAUUUGAUUAUAUACAUAGGCCUGAUUGUCUUGAAGGUCAAAGUUAUUUAUAUUGAUUUUACUUAUGUUGUUAAUGUUAUUAAUGUCCAGUAUGAAACAGAAGAGGCAUGUGAUAUUCCAAUGUAUGUUUCACCAACCUUGCAUCAAUGAAAAAUGACAUCAUAUUUUAAUAAAGAAUACUGCACAUCCAAGUCGUGAUUAUUUAUAUUUUUCAUUUUCAUGACUUUAGUAUGAGUCAUU
ensembl:lncRNA